GACGACGCUGGCGGCGUGCUUAAUACAUGCAAGUCGAGCGAGGUUACUGUUUCGGAUCCCUUCGGGGUGAAGAAGCUUUAACCUAGCGGCGGACGGGUGAGUAACGCGUGGGUAACCUACCCCAAAGUCCGGGAUAACAGCGGGAAACCGCUGCUAAUACCGGAUGUCUUUACCUUGGGGCAUCUUGAGGUAAAGAAAGGUAACGCUUUGGGAUGGGCCCGCGUCCCAUUAGCUAGUUGGUGAGGUAACGGCUCACCAAGGCGACGAUGGGUAGCCGGCCUGAGAGGGUGGACGGCCACACUGGGACUGAGACACGGCCCAGACUCCUACGGGAGGCAGCAGUAGGGAAUAUUGCGCAAUGGACGGAAGUCUGACGCAGCGACGCCGCGUGAGCGAUGAAGGUCUUCGGAUCGUAAAGCUCUGUCCUUGGGGAAGAAGGUCUUCGGACUUGACGGUACCCAAGAAGAAAGCCCCGGCUAACUACGUG
rnacentral:rRNA from 1 species